CAAGGAGUGAGCAGCCAGUAAACGAAAAGAAGAAGAAGACGGUCUCACAGUGCGCGUGAACUUCAGAAGAGAACAAGGUCAUUGCGGACUGUUUAGUUAGGAAACACAGCAACUAACCACAUCUGACAACACUGAUGGGUGACAUCACGCUGAAGGCCCGGCAGAUGGCAUCUGUUUGUUCAUGCCGGUCAGAGUUUCUCCUCUCUUAAACACGCUUCAACCACAAACCUCUAAUUCUGUAUGCCACACCCUUUAAAGGGGGGACAGGCGAAAAAAAGAGAGAAGAGAAAGAGAGAACACAACAGAUGAAGCAAACUAUUGAAAUUCAGACCUACAGAGGCCGAAUGUAAAGCUCACUUGGAUGAGAGGACAACAUCACAGCAGCAGAGGCUUUAUAAUCACAAGGACUCUGUGUCGGUCUGAUGUACGGUUAGAUAUAAAGAAGCAAACAGCCAUCAGCCAGAUGCUCAGAAGACAAACGACACAACAACACUUCAACCACAGUGUCAUUUCAGUCUCACAGCCACAGUGCUGUUUACAAAGUUUCUCUCUUCUCUUUAAAAAUAACUCAACUGCACAACGUAACUAUAAUCAAAGCUCAGUGUAAAGAGGGGAUACAGAGUACUGCUUUAUAUGUAGUGUAUACACAUUUAUAGUGAUUGCAAAGUGAGGAACGUCUUAAAAUGUAUCAAACUUUACAACUCUUUCACUCUCAUGUUGUGGACCAUUUAGCAUCAGAAGUUUUAACACUAUUGACCUUGCAAGCAUCGGUAAUUCAGAUCUUGUUAUCCAGCUGAUUUACUGUGUGGAACCUCAUGAAACUUUUACACAGAGAGGAUGACAUGCUGAGAACAGAGGUCU